rnacentral:rRNA from 1 species
CAGCCGCCGCGGUAAUACGAAGGGGGCUAGCGUUGCUCGGAAUCACUGGGCGUAAAGGGCGCGUAGGCGGCCGAUCAAGUCAGGGGUGAAAGCCUGUGGCUCAACCACAGAAUUGCCUUUGAUACUGUUUGGCUCGAGACCGGAAGAGGUUGGUGGAACUGCGAGUGUAGAGGUGAAAUUCGUAGAUAUUCGCAAGAACACCAGUGGCGAAGGCGGCCAACUGGUCCGGUUCUGACGCUGAGGCGCGAAAGCGUGGGGAGCAAACAGG